rnacentral:tRNA from 2 species
UAUAAUAUGACAGAUUAGUGUAUUGGUCUUAAACACCAAAUAAAAAGAUUUUUAACUCUUUUAUUAUAA